rnacentral:lncRNA from 1 species
AGAGUUAAGUGGUGGAGUUUAGGAUUUAGGGUUUAUGGUUUAGGGUUUAGAGUUUAGGGUUUAUAGUUUAGGGGUGGGGUUUAGGAUUUAGGGUUUAGAGUUAAGGAGUGGGGUUUAAGAUUUAGGGUUUAGGGUUUAGAGUUUAGAGGUGGGGUUUAGGUUUAGGGUUUAUAGUUAAGGGGUGGGGUUUAGGAUUUAGGGUUUAGGGUUUAGGGUUUAGGUUUUAGGGUUUAGGUUUUAGGGUUUAGGAUUUAGAGUUUAGGGUUUAGAGUUUAGGGUGGGGUUUAGGGUUUAGGGUUUAGAGUUAAGGGGUGGGGUUUAGGAUUUAGGAUUUAGAGUUUAGGAUUUAGGGUUUAGAGUUUACGGUUGGGGAUUUUGCAAUAAGAUUUCAAAUUUGGAAAAAUAAAAAAAGUUUAAAUUUUUCAAAAGAUAAAAUGCUAUUUUGGUAAUUUUAGGUUUUGAGGGCUAUUUUUGUGACAUAAACUUAGAAAUGUGUUAUUUUGAAGAUUUGCCAUGUUAUUUAUGUUAUAAAAAUAAUGGAAAAUAUGUUUUUAUUUAUAACAUAGAUGUUCCUUAUAUAGGAGAUUAC